UUAAAAUUUUUAUUCAAGAGCAUUCAAUCUUCUGCUUGAGAAAUAAAAGAACAUUAAUUGAGCAAACAUGCUCUGUCCCAAGACCCUAUUUUUUCCAAGAUUUUGAAAGAAAAUAUUUUUUACAGUUGUUAUGAUGAUGGAGUUUUGCACAAUUUUGGAAUUUUAAUUCCAAAAAAUUUGCCCCGACUGGUUUAAAAUUGAGAUAUCUAGUUUUUGCUCAUACUUGAUUAUUUGAGAACAUUUAAUCUUGGCUAAAUAAAAAAGAAUCUUCAAUCUUCUGUUUCAAAAAAAGAUAGCUCCUAAAGGGCAUCGAUGGAUAUAAUUUGUUUCACAAAUUUUGGAAGGGAUGGAGUUUUUAUCUCAUUCUUGAAUUAUUCAAGAGCAUUCAAUCUUCUGCUGGAGAAAUAAAGAACAUUAAUUGAGCAAACAUGCUCUGUCCCAAGACCCUAUUUGUUUCUAAAAUUUUGAAAGAAAAAUACUUUUUACUGUUGGUAUGAUGAUGAUGGAGUUUUUAUCUCAUUCUUGAAUUAUUCAAGAGCAUUCAAUCUUCUGCUGGAGAAAUAAAGAACAUUAAUUGAGCAAACAUGCUCUGUCCCAAGACCCUAUUUGUUUCUAAAAUUUUGAAAGAAAAAUACUUUUUACUGUUGGUAUGAUGAUGAUGGAGUUUUUAUCUCAUUCUUGAAUUAUUCAAGAGCAUUCAAUCUUCUGCAUGAGAAAUAAAAGAACAUUAAUUGAGCAAACAUGCUCUGUCCCAAGACCCUAUUUGUUUCCAAGAUUUUGAAAGAAUUUUCUUUUACAGUUGUUAUGAUGAUGGAGUUUUGCACAAUUUUGGAAUUUUAAUUCCAAAAAAUUUUCCCCGACAGGUUUAAAAUUGAGAUAUCUAUUUUUUUCUCAUACUUGAUUAUUUGAGAACCUUGAAUCUUGGCUAAAUAAAAAAGAAUCUUCAAUCUUCUGUUUCAAAAAAAGAUAGCUCCUAAAGGGCAUCUAUGGAUAUAAUUUGUUUCACAAAUUUUGAAAGGGACGGAUGUCUUAUGAACUCUUUAUUCAUAAUGUAAGGAAUCCAAGUUUGGUUGGUGAAUGGAUAAGUGAAAUGAAAUGUAUUUUUUUCUUUCAUUAUCUAAAAAUGGGGUGGUAUACAUGAACUUAAUUACUCCAAAUUCGACUGCAAGUUGGAUAUACUUUGUUGCAUGAUUUCUGUAAGGGAUUGAAUGUCUUUAUGCCCCAAAAAUGAUAGAUGUUACCUUAAUGUGAAAGCUAGUUGUUGCUGUCUUAAAGCAUGGAUAGAUAAUUUGAUAUCUUGAACUUUAAUGACUCUAGUCCCUUUGCAACUGUAACCUGACGUGAUUUUGCAGAUAAAUACUGUAUGAGUUGUGACCACUAUUUGGGGGAUUCAACAAUUAACUUUUUUCUUAGUGCACAUUUUAAUUGGUUGUAGGCUCGAUCUUAACUCUUAUGACAGUUAUAUUUCUUGUGUUAUCUAGCUAGUUGGUUUUGAAGGAGUAGUAGAGUUUGCUGUUUGGAUUUUUGAUUGUGCUGCUGUUCGUUUGUUGCUGAGACCAAAGGGAAUGUUUUGUUUAAUGAAAUGGCAUGCCUCAAAUCUUAAUUGCCAAAAUGAUUAAUUUGUAUUAAUGUUUAAUAGGUUAUAAUUAACUUUGAUAGUUAGCAAUUGCCAUGGAAGUAGAUUGAGGAUCAGAUAUUUUCUCAGUUUUUAUUUGAAUUGGAUAGUUAGUAAUUGCCAUGGAAGUAGAUUGAGGAUCAGAUAUUUUCUCUGUUUUUUAUUUGAAUUGGAUGUCAAAUCCUGGAUUUUGGAAAGGGUUUUCAUCAUUAUGGAUUUUUGUCUUGUGAAGCACAAAACAAAAAUGGCAGUACUUGUGAAAUGGGCCUAUGCUUUGAGCAAUUCUCAUUUGAUUAUGUGAGUAUAUACGCAGUGUUUAAAAAGAUACAUACAACUAAUUAAAAGCCUCUUUUUUACAGGACAACUGCUUAAAAGCUGAAGAUAAUAUUAAUAUGACUUCAGCCUAAUUUGUUACAGACUUAUGAGCAAGUGGAAUUACAAUUACCUUUGUGGUUGUGGGUGUAAUGCUAAGUAGUAAUUGGCUGCAUAUUCUGAACCCAAUUUCUGAAUUUGAUAAUUUCUAGCUGUUAAGGGUUUAAAUGUAUUAUUAGCAUGAAUGUCGCAUACCAGCAUCCUUAGCAGCAGCCAAACACCUUAAUAACACCCCUCCAACCACAAACAAAAACACCCCAUAACUAUUCCCUACAAAUUACAAUCACAUUAUUAACUUCCAGUUGCUUAAGACAUCACAAUGCAGCGAAGUUUUCCAGGCCAUACAAUCUGAGACCAGAUUUGGCCUAACCACCUGAGCAACACACGACAGAAAACACAGCACCAGAAGAUGCUGUAAGGUAUUGUUGGCAAUAUUAUAGAAGUAGAAUUAGAUGAGACCAGGUGAAGAAAGAGAAGGAUAACUCUAGCCUUCUAUCUUCUAACAACUCAGCUGAUUAGAUGCAAGUCUUGAAUUUAGUGACUGAAUACAAGUGAGCUCUUAUAAGUUAUAAGUAGGUACAUACAACAAUUGCAAUUUGAGAAUUGAUCAUGUAAGUGUUACAGCCUCCCGAUUAUGCAAUAUAUUAACUUGUUGUGAUGACAGUUCUUUUGGACAAUUAUUCCUAUGUAGCAUAAAUGUUUCUUGCAUAUGUACAUUCUGGUAUUCA